UACGGGGGGGCAAGCGUUGUUCGGAAUUACUGGGCGUAAAGGGCUCGUAGGCGGCCAACUAAGUCAUACGUGAAAUCCCUCGGCUUAACCGGGGAACUGCGUCUGAUACUGGAUGGCUUGAAUCCGGGAGAGGGAUGCAGAAUUCCAGGUGUAGCGGUGAAAUGCGUAGAUAUCUGGAGGAAUACCGGUGGCGAAGGCGGCAUCCUGGACCGGCAUUGACGCUGAGGAGCGAAAGCCAGGGGAGCAAAGCGGG
rnacentral:rRNA from 1 species